CCCCAACAGCUCCCAGCAACAGCUUUUUAGCUCUCAAUGUCCUCCGAGACACCCUUAGGCCUUCCGCACGAAGUCCCUAGCUGGUGGCAGAGAUGGCGUCAUCGCGCAGCCCAAGGUUCUUGGGUUCGUCGGGGUCAGACCAGCUUCUCCUCACCGAUCGCCGAGCCGCACCAUGGAAUACCCGGUUCCCUUCCCUUCUGGAUG
rnacentral:lncRNA from 1 species